rnacentral:rRNA from 1 species
UACGUAGGGUGCGAGCGUUGUCCGGAAUUAUUGGGCGUAAAGGGCUCGUAGGCGGUUUGUCGCGUCGGGAGUGAAAACCUUGGGCUUAACUCAGGGCUUGCUUUCGAUACGGGCAGACUAGAGGUAUGCAGGGGAGAACGGAAUUCCUGGUGUAGCGGUGAAAUGCGCAGAUAUCAGGAGGAACACCGGUGGCGAAGGCGGCGACCUGGGUAGAUACUGACGCUGAGGUGCGAAAGCGUGGGGAGCAAACAGG